rnacentral:rRNA from 1 species
CCUACGGGUGGCUGCAGUGGGGAAUAUUGCACAAUGGGCGCAAGCCUGAUGCAGCCAUGCCGCGUGUGUGAAGAAGGCCUUCGGGUUGUAAAGCACUUUCAGCGGGGAGGAAGGCGUUAAGGUUAAUACCCUUGGCGAUUGACGUUACCCGCAGAAGAAGCACCGGCUAACUCCGUGCCAGCAGCCGCGGUAAUACGGAGGGUGCAAGCGUUAAUCGGAAUUACUGGGCGUAAAGCGCACGCAGGCGGUCUGUCAAGUCGGAUGUGAAAUCCCCGGGCUCAACCUGGGAACUGCAUUCGAAACUGGCAGGCUAGAGUCUUGUAGAGGGGGGUAGAAUUCCAGGUGUAGCGGUGAAAUGCGUAGAGAUCUGGAGGAAUACCGGUGGCGAAGGCGGCCCCCUGGACAAAGACUGACGCUCAGGUGCGAAAGCGUGGGGAGCAAACAGGAUUAGAUACCCUAGUAGUC